rnacentral:tRNA from 1 species
UGACGUGUAGCUCAGUGGUUAGAGCGUUUGGUGGAUAGCCAAAAGGUCGCCGGUUCGAGUCCGGUCUCGUCAA